rnacentral:rRNA from 1 species
GAUGAACGCUGGCGGCGUGCCUAAUACAUGCAAGUCGAGCGAACGGACGAGAAGCUUGCUUCUCUGAUGUUAGCGGCGGACGGGUGAGUAACACGUGGAUAACCUACCUAUAAGACUGGGAUAACUUCGGGAAACCGUAGCUAAUACCGGAUAAUAUUUUGAACCGCAUGGUUCAAAAGUGAAAGACGGUCUUGCUGUCACUUAUAGAUGGAUCCGCGCUGCAUUAGCUAGUUGGUAAGGUAACGGCUUACCAAGGCAACGAUGCAUAGCCGACCUGAGGGGGUGAUCGGCCACACUGGAACUGAGACACGGUCCAGACUCCUAGGGGAGGCAGCAGUAGGGAAUCUUCCGCAAUGGGCGAAAGCCUGACGGAGCAACGCCGCGUGAGUGAUGAAGGUCUUCGGAUCGUAAAACUCUGUUAUUAGGGAAGAACAUAUGUGUAAGUAACUGUGCACAUCUUGACGGUACCUAAUCAGAAAGCCACGGCUAACUACGUG